rnacentral:rRNA from 1 species
UUUCAAUUCGGUCGUCACAUGCAGUCGCCGCGAGACGGGAUCGCGGCAGACUUGCUCCCAUGAUGUUAGCGGCGGACGGGUGAGUAACACGUGGGUAACCUGCCUGUAAGACUGGGAUAACUCCGGGAAACCGGGGCUAAUACCGGAUGGUUGUUUGAACCGCAUGGUUCAGACAUAAAAGGUGGCUUCGGCUACCACUUACAGAUGGACCCGCGGCGCAUUAGCUAGUUGGUGAGGUAACGGCUCACCAAGGCAACGAUGCGUAGCCGACCUGAGAGGGUGAUCGGCCACACUGGGACUGAGACACGGCCCAGACUCCUACGGGAGGCAGCAGUAGGGAAUCUUCCGCAAUGGACGAAAGUCUGACGGAGCAACGCCGCGUGAGUGAUGAAGGUUUUCGGAUCGUAAAGCUCUGUUGUUAGGGAAGAACAAGUGCCGUUCAAAUAGGGCGGCACCUUGACGGUACCUAACCA